GCGCCGGCGCCCUAUCUUCCGCUCCUUCCGUUCCUUGCGCUCGGCGCGCAGGUGGCGGCCCCAUCUUUCGCUUCCUCCCUUCCUCCGCCACCACUCACCCCUUGAUCCGUUCUGCCUCCUAAAUUUGGCGUCACCAAGCAACCCCACUCAUGCCGUUCUCAAAACCCUACCCGACCAAUCCGUCCAAUUCCAAGGCUGUCGGCUUUGCGUUAUGAGCGCCGGGUCAGGGGAGGGGCGGAGGAUCAGAUCAGCAGCCGCACGAGCAUUGAGCGAUAUGGCUUCUAUGUAGGAUGCAACUGGACAUCGCCGUCCACUCGUCUAGCUAUUGAUGCUGAAGUCCCGAUGCUUCAUGCCACCGCGAUGGUGGCUGGUUGAUCUCCGAUAUCAAGAGGAGGGAAGAGGCACUGAAGAAUGGUGCAGAUCCACAUUUGUUUUUGCAUAAUUGCUGCCUUAGCUCCACCAAUUGUAUUUCAUGGGAAAUCAUUAACGUAAGUUUGCCACUCCUUUUAUCUAAAGUAAUCAAAGUCAUUAGUUAUUAUGGGCUUGGGUAAUGUGAGUAAGCACCAUUGCAUAGAUAGCCAGUGAUGUUGGCUGCUGGAAAAGGAGAAAUCAAUGAAUUAUAGAUUGGGAUCACAGAACUUCAUAGAGGAAACUAGGUUGAUUGUUCAAUAUCUUUUUAAGAACACUUAGUAUCCUGGAUAAUAUGUGAAACAAACAAUAUGUGAAACAAAUAAGUAUUUAACCAGCCGCAUAGAAGCAUGUUUGCUUUGUGACCCUAGAAACCAGCCAGGCACAAGCAGCACCUCGACCCCCUCCUCGACCAGAUGACUACUGUCUCGAGGCGUACAGUGGCCACUCACCUAGCGGGUGUGUCUAGCUCGUCAUCGGUCUCCAAUGCCACGUUCGCGCUACUACUCCAAUCAUUGCUGACCCGUAUGAUCUCCACUGACUUCCACAAGGAGUGCAGGCACCUUCGGUCCCAUCCGCUGUUAAGGAGAACACAUGGUUAUGGUGUUCCACAGACUGGCAUUUUAUUCAUUCAUUGAAAGGCUUACCUCGCUUAUGGUGUUCCACAGAGUGACAUGAAACUAUUUUCACUUAUGCAAAAGAUUUGUGCAUUAAGAAUAUUUUUUAUCAGAGUUCACUCGAGGAAUGCAAGAAUUAGGAUAGGUAGAUUAGAUCUUUUUUAUUGGUGUAUCCUGAGUUUCCUCUAAUAAGAAUCAUGUGUCACCACCUGAGUCAAUUUUACUAAACAUUUUUUUGCUACCAGCCUUAAAUACAUACUACAAAUGCUGAUUUACCCU